rnacentral:ncRNA from 27 species
UCAUCCCUGCGUGACUGGCGAUAGAACCGGUUCAAACAACCGGAUUCAAGGUGGAGCAACCCACCGUGAAGCGCAGGGUGCCGUUUUGCCGUUCGCCUGGGCAGCCGUG